AGUCUUUCCAUUACCUCUUCUCUCUCUCUCUUAAAAUUUGCAAGCGUGUGACUCUCUCUGUGUGUCAUGUAACUCUUGUUUGUUUGGUUAGAUUUUGUUUUGAGCUUCCAGUUUUCUCAGUAGCUGAGAAAAGAGAAAUAGUAGUACUCAGCUACAUAUAGAUAUAGGUGAUAUACUCAUAUAUAGAGAGAUAAAGAGGAGAGAGAGAGAGGCAUGGGCUGUUUUCCAUGCUCUGGAAAUUCAGAUAAGCGGCCAGAGAAGAAGAAGACGAAUAACAACGAAAGUCAUCGGAAUAAACGAGACGAUCAAGCACAACCCACCUCAGAUAAAUUGAAGGUUAGUCCAUAUAGAGAUGUGAAGGAGUUGAGUGAGAAAGGCACUAAGGUUGUGAAUAACUCUUCGCCCCCAAAGGGGCCGGAUGUUAGGGAGGAGGUUCCUGAGGUUAUAGGCACUGAUGACAUUAAGGCAAAGACAUUUACAUUCAACCAAUUGGUGGCCGCAACGGAGAAUUUUAAAUCAAACUACUUUUUGGGUGAGGGAGGCUUCGGUAAAGUUUAUAAAGGAAUAUUGGAGGAUACCGGCGAGAUUGUAGCUAUUAAGCAACUUGACCGAAAUGGAUUGCAAGGGAUUAGGGAAUUUGUGGUUGAAGUAUUGACAUUAAGUUUAGCCGACCACCCUAAUCUUGUUAAAUUAAUUGGUUAUUGUGCCGAGGGCACCCAAAGGCUGUUGGUCUAUGAGUUCAUGCCAUUAGGAUCGUUGGAAGACCAUUUGCAUGACCUUCGACCUAAUAGAAAACGACUUGAUUGGAAUACUAGAAUGAAGAUAGCAGCUGGUGCUGCGAGGGGCUUAGAAUAUUUGCAUGACAAGAUGAAUCCCCCAGUUAUAUACCGUGAUUUGAAAUGCUCUAACAUUCUGCUUGGCGAGGGCUAUCAUCCCAAACUAUCUGAUUUUGGCUUGGCCAAAGUAGGUCCUGUUGGAGAUAAAACCCAUGUCUCUACCAGAGUGAUGGGUACAUAUGGGUACUGUGCACCGGAUUAUGCAAUGACUGGUCAGCUGAAUUUUAAGUCAGAUAUUUACAGCUUUGGGGUUGUUCUUUUGGAGAUCAUCACGGGCAGGAAAGCGAUUGACAAUACAAGAUCUGCUGCUGAGCAAAAUCUGGUUGCGUGGGCACGACCCUUGUUCAAGGACCGGAGGAAAUUCUCACUGAUGGCUGACCCAGCACUCCAGGGUGAGUUUCCGACGAGAGGGUUGUACCAAGCUCUUGCCAUUGCUGCAAUGUGCGUCCAGGAGCAACCUAACAUGCGGCCCCUUAUAGCUGAUGUCGUUACGGCUUUAAACUACCUUGCUUCCCAUAAAUAUGAUCCUCAAGCCCAUCCUGCUCAAGGCUCUCAUAAGGACCAUUCUUUGCAUAAAACAAAAAGGGACGAUGAGCAGAAACUAGCUGCUCCUAAUGGGCAGGAGAGAACCAAGCUGGAAGACUAAUUUAAGCGGUCAAUGCCUUUUUGUUGCACUUCACUUUGCGUGCCUGGUUAUCGGUUUUUGUAUGCCAGAAGAUAACAGGUUACUUGGAAGGGUGAGCCUUGGCGCAACGGUGAGGUUACCGGUACGAAACAAGAAAACAGGCUCUCCGUAUGCGAAGGUACGCUUAACAAGGUGGUCAGAAGAUGUCCAGAACAGCUUGGUUUAUGAUGAUCACACCCCCGCUCUUGAAUUUGACACCAACCCUCUUCCCUUUCUGGAGUCACAAAAUGUGGAAUAUAAUUAAACUUGUCAAGUUGAAUUUAGACUGUUGUAAAAAGUAGUUAAACCAAACAUUGUUAUAACUUAGAUUUGCCAGUUCAUGAAAGGAGGAAACAUUUAUUCAUUCUA